GGACUUUACAGCACAAUCAACUUAUUAUUGCGACUUUGAAGUAGGCAGACACUCUGUAUUACUAUGCUUAAGUUCAGUUUAUUUUUCAGGAAAGGUGUGCUUCUUAGUGGGAUUUGCAAAUGUUAUGGAGUAGUCAUAAAUGAGGGGGCCACCGCAAUUCCGAGAUUACCAGUGUGGCAGCACUGGCUAAAGCAGCCACACCAGAAUAUCUUAUCUCAGCAACGAUGCCUUCAAUCAUAGCAAUCUUUGAUGGGCACACUGACAAAAAUCAUUCUGUGCAGCAAACAUCACCUACAGUUGUAACUGAGAGAAUGCAGCAUUUGCUGUACCAGUAGAGAAGGAGGCCAUCUUGCCGAGACUUGAGAGUUGCACUCACUUACAAAAGAUCGGUAAGAAAAAGAGGGCACCUUCCCUCGGGGCCACCUUCAGUAAUAGAACUGUGCAUUCAAAAGCAAUAUCGGCAUUGUUUCUGUCAUGAGACCCACUCAAUUCCAGGAAAACACUGGCACU
rnacentral:lncRNA from 1 species